GCCAAAAUCUAAAAAUUUGUAAGAUGUAUUAUUCACUCCAUACAAUCAGAUCACUCCGAGAGAGCUGUUCCAGUCUCCUGGCUGAAGAUCCCAGGGAAGAGACUGUAUGAAGAAAAUAAAACUUGGAACAGCACAGCAACCAUAAUUUUAUGAUAUCUGAUAUGGCACUGAAGACUUUCCUUCAGCAAUUACCAGUUUGAGGCAAUGCAAACUCCUAUCAUGUAAGACGUUCGCUUGCACGCUUUCCAUCACUGGUCAUUUCAAGAUGCACCUUCUUUCACUGUCCCAAGAGCUCAGAUUUCAUUCCUGAUGGCUGGAAACUUAGAUAUCGGCUGUCCCUCAAAGGCAUUGGUUACAACUUGUUUGUAAGCAGACAGCUGUCAAUUGCACGAGAGCUUUCUGUGAAAGAGACAAUAUCUUUCUGAACACCUGAACUCCAUCAGGAAUCAAACAGAAGGCCAAGAAAGGCCCGGAGUCAAAGGGCUUCUGGUGCUGAAUUCACAGCUUCGCCCCAGACUCUGCUCUGACUUGCUGCAAUUGCCAGGAAGUCGGGAGGGGAGUGUGUCCCAGAGAGUGCAGGAAGGCAGAGCUUCUGCUGCCUUGUGUCACCAUGCUCACAGUAAAAGAGAAAAGAGGAGGCCAGCUUUACUCUGCUAGAAGAGAAAAGCUAGCUUCUGAGGAAACUGAAGGCAUAUAAAAUGUUUGAUGAAUGCACCGGGACCCUCCCCAUGCAAGCAGCUUUGCCUGUGGCUCGCCAGCCUCCCACCAAAGAGCACCGGGACGUGUCUGCCUCGGAGUAAGUAUGAAACAAGGGUAAUGACCUUCAAAGACACUCGCAUACUUGCAGUCAAAAGUAAAGAAAGCUGAAGUGUAUGACAAGGACACAGAUGCUCCGUCUGUAGCAACCUCUUCACCCAGAAGGCCCAGAGGACUCAGCGAGGGUUAGGCAGCGAAGCACUCCGAUCCGGCAGUAAGCCCAAGUUCAAAGUGGAUGCAGAGCUGUGCUGUCCAACUCUACCUGAAACCGCCAAAGCAAACUCGGCAGAACACCCCCGUUUACAGCUAUCGUUAUUUUUCAGCCAUCACAUACCACAUACGACGUGGACGUAACGGCAAGGGAGGCUCCGCGUAGCGAAGUUUCUCUCUCUCAAUUUCCCUUGCUGGGCGAAAGCCCGCUCUGCCUCUGGCAGCUGCAGCGGCGCCCCAGGCCCGGCAGACAUCCCGUCUGUGCCUGCCUCACCCGCAUCCCCGUCCCAAACUGGCUCAGAGACCAUUAAGGCCAGGCAGGGCUGCUCGAACCUUUUCACCUGGCUUCCUGCAGAACAGCCGAUAGAUUUUACCUAGUGUUGGCCUAGGAAGCCCUGGCUGGGCUGGGAAAUGUCUUUCCAGAGGGGAAGCUGGUCUUUGUUUAGAGCC